rnacentral:rRNA from 1 species
UACGAAGGGUGCAAACGUUGCUCGGAAUCAUUGGGCGUAAAGCGCACGUAGGCGGCCUGUUAAGUCGGAUGUGAAAGCCCCCGGCUCAACCGGGGAGGGUCAUUGGAAACUGGGGAACUUGAGUGUAGAAGAGGAAAGUGGAAUUCCACGUGUAGCGGUGAAAUGCGUAGAGAUGUGGAGGAACACCAGUGGCGAAGGCGACUUUCUGGUCUAUAACUGACACUGAGGCGCGAAAGCGUGGGGAGCAAACAGG